GAUGAAGAACGCAGCGAAAUGCGAUAACUAAUGUGAAUUGCAGAAUUCAGUGAAUCAUCGAGUCUUUGAACGCACAUUGCGCCCCCUGGUAUUCCGGGGGGCAUGCCUGUCCGAGCGUCAUUGCUGCCCUCAAGCACGGCUUGUGUGUUGGGCUCCGCCCCCCCGGGGACGGGCCCGAAAGGCAGCGGCGGCACCGAGUCCGGUCCUCGAGCGUAUGGGGCUUUGUCACCCGCUCUGUAGGCCCGGCCGGCGCCAGCCGACAACCCAUCAUCCUUUUCAGGUUGACCUCGGAUCAGGUAGGGAUACCCGCUGAAUUUAAGCAUAUCAAUAAGCGGAGGA
rnacentral:misc_RNA from 1 species